CCAAAGGCUCUUUUAAGAGCCAACACACAUUCUACUGAAGAGCUCCU
rfam:Poecilia formosa, whole genome shotgun sequence.